AAUUUAGAUUUUCCUUUUAACCACCUACAUAUAUAUAUAUAUAUACAUAUAUAUAGUCAGGACCUGGUCUAGUUUUUUUUCCUUAUCACAGACGAACCGUAUAUGUAAUAUUGGGUCCCAACCUCCCUUUCAUAACUCCCUUUUAUGUUUCUGUUCCUUCCAUACUAACUGGGUUGUCCAGUCCUUCAGGGUCACACCUGACAUCUCAAUGGAGAAUCUCAAACAGCAACUUACUGGUAAUAGGUCCUUAGGUCCUUUAGUUUCCAAUGUCCUACUGACCUCAGCACCACUGAUGAACCAUUUUGCCUUUCCACCAGCUCUUAGAUGUUCACAGCCCCCUGGAUCAUGUCCUUCACUUCUAGAUAACUUCUUGCAGGUCUCCAGUCUAAAAGAAACGGAAAGAAAACCAAACAAAACACUUUCAUCUUCAGUUUUAGACAGAGACUGCUAAACACUUUGCGAAAUCGCUGCUGGUAAAACAUCACACUGGAACAAUCUCCAGCUGUCCUCCACCUUGAGAAGAAGAAACUUGGGACUCAUAUAGAAAGUUCUUAGCACUUGAUCAAACAGAUCAAUGGAAAUUCAAUAACAACAUCCAAGACGAGUACUGGAAUCCUAGCAAGCCAGAAGACCUUCACAUAUGGAAAUGACAUGUCAAUGUUACAACGAAACCUUGCAUAUAUGUAUCACUUCAUCUCCAGACAUCCCAGGCCAUAUGAAAUGAUCUAAUUUCACACCACCUGCACCAGAUCAUCCUGGCGUUAUUAUCCAUGUUUUAAGGAUGAAGAUAUUUGCAAAGACUUUGGCCUUGUAACGAGUUGCCGAGAUGACGCACAACUGACACCAAUGGAAACAGUGUAUGUGACGUGGGUGGGCAGUGUCCUAGCUGAUCAUACCAAAGGCCCAGAGACAGGGCCCAGAAUACAAAUUUUAACUACAGAAUGCAGCUCUGUUCAGCAAGGCAAUUAGAUAUGCCCUUAAACUUGACCAUGUGCCUUUCUGUUCACUGGAACAGAAUACAGGACUCCUGAUUACCAGUCUUUUGCUCAAAGCAUUAUUCUUGUCAUUAAGAAUAACUUAGUUAAAAACUAGAAGGAAACAGUUCUUCCAGAUCAAUCCAGAGGGCAAUUUCAUCUUGGAUUUUGCUGCUUCUACUCAAGUGAGUGAGAGUUUUGCCAUUAAAUUCAAUAUCAUAAAGAUCAAGCUCUUAAAGCACAUGCUCAGUUUUAGCUGAUUCAGUAACAGAGACUAUUUUUUUGCACUCACCUGAGAUUUCUGCUAAACAAUCCCUCUCAUUUUACUGCCAGGUGUUCUGUACAGUCUGUGCUUUUCCACCUUAAAACUAAAUGUGAUAAUUAAAAAAAAAAAGAAAACAAAAAAAAAAAACCAAAAACCUCUCCAAUGACAUUUGCAAGUUUUGAGAGACUCCUUUCAACAGAUAUUUAGUAACA
rnacentral:lncRNA from 1 species